AGUGCUACUCAGGAUGCUGCAUGUUAUGGGGCUCUGGGAGGACCUGUGUAUCUGCAGCUGAUGAGGGACACCACAGGACAUGACCUGAGGUUAUACAGUGGAGAUAAGAAUGUAUUUACAUCCAAAAGCUCCAAGACAGUGUUCUACAACGAGUUGAACACCCCAUCAUACCUGCAGAGGUGGCAGUUUGUUAACGGGAUCCUCAUAAUAAACCCUACAGAGAGGAGAGACGCAGGAACAUACAGAGUGGAGAUCUAUAAGGAGUCAACAGGGAGGAGAUUGAGAGAUCACACAGUACAGCUGAUCAUUGUAGCCCCUGUGUCUACUGUGGACCUGUCAAUCAACUGCUCAGCCAAUGGGGAGAGGAGGGUGAGGUGUUCAUUCAACGGAGACAGUCCUAAGUACGGCUGGGCUCUGGAUGGGAGGCCUCUGAGUGAAGCUUUUGCUGAUCUCAGUCCAGAUAAUCAGACUCUCUCAAUGAGGGGGUGUGUGCUUGGGAACCUCUCCUGUAGCGCCUGGAACCAUGUCAGCAGCACACACACCUCAGCAUUGCUGCUGGACGCCUGCUCUGCUGCUGCUACUGUCUAUACUGUCUACUCUCCAGUGUUCAUCAGUGUGUGGUUGGCAGGGAUCAUCAUCUUCACAGCACUGCUGGUGGGAGGGUGUUACCUCUGCACACGGAACAAGAGAACACUCACUCCAGAUGAGCAUAUUUACCAGAGGGCCACCAGAGGAGGUGCAGGACACCAGAGGGGGCGCAGGACACCAGAGGAGGUGCAGAUAAAUGGACACCCUCUGAGCCAAGGGGGAGUCACAACAUCAGAAUACUCCGUUAUUCCCUGUCGUCCAUAGUGACUCUGAUCAGUCAUACAGUAUACUCGUGUCACAACAGGAAACAGAGGGGUCAUGUCAAAUAUUCUGUUCUGAGGUCAUUGUUUCUCUCUCAUGAUGGGUC
ensembl:lncRNA